rnacentral:rRNA from 1 species
AUUGAACGCUGGCGGCAUGCCUUACACAUGCAAGUCGAACGGUAACAGGUCUUCGGACGCUGACGAGUGGCGAACGGGUGAGUAAUACAUCGGAACGUGCCCAGUCGUGGGGGAUAACUACUCGAAAGAGUAGCUAAUACCGCAUACGAUCUGAGGAUGAAAGCGGGGGACCUUCGGGCCUCGCGCGAUUGGAGCGGCCGAUGGCAGAUUAGGUAGUUGGUGGGAUAAAAGCUUACCAAGCCGACGAUCAGUAGCCGACCUGAGAGGGUGACCGGCCACAUUGGGACUGAGACACGGCCCAA